GUCACAGACUCUGGCUGCAGUGUGUUCCACCUUGGUGCUGUGAACAAAUGGCGUUGGAAAACAUCUGGGUCGCUCAACGAUUUGAGGCCGGAGCCAGUCGUCAUAACUACAAGAUGUGCAAGUUUUCCUUGUGCUGGUAUUGACCUGUCAUCAGCAACAACCUCAGUAUCAUCGCUAGGAUAAACAGCAUCCCAUUUCAUUGGAGAAACUACUGAUGCCGGUUACGAAUCUUUUCCUCCCCUGUCUUUAAAUGUCCUCGUGUAUGCCCAUGUGAAUGUGGGUGUAUUCACGAGGACUCCCUUUACCCCCUAUCCCGCCUGGUGGAUUCAACGUUUCUGCGACUUAGUGGAAAGCGAUGUGGAUGCCUGGCCGUAUUUUCCCAGGC